rnacentral:lncRNA from 1 species
GCCGCCUGGCCUUAUCAGCCAGGUGCGGGACCCCUGGGAUAACACCGGCUGAGGAGACAGUGAGCGCUUCCCAGGCACCGGGCUGGUGGGAGAGGGGCCUGCCCGCCUGCCCGCCUGCCUGCCCACCAGCCUGGCCCCCGAGCCAGCGUCUUGAAUCGAGCAAAGCAGUGGCAAGACAGAAGUGGCGCCUGCUGGAAAGAGACAGAGCGUCUCCUUGAUUUCCUAACAGGCCCAGCCAUAUGCCAGGGGCGGACAGGCCAGCUCAGAACGCCGGGCCUGGCUUGCGAAACAGUCCUUUCCUCCUCUGGGUCUAAGGAUGCAUCCUGCCCUUAUCUGCCUCUGGGUUUUGCUGACAAUUCUCUUGGCUGAGCAUGCCUUUUCUGAUCUUGGCUCCAUUGACCAGAUCCCUUAAGAACAAUGAGGGUGCUUUUCGCUUCCCGGAAGCUGGCAGGGAGUUCCUCUAAAGCGCAGGUUGGAGUGGUCAGAAGGGAGCGAACUGACAGCACGAGGAAGGCUCAGCGCAUGCCAGCUCCACUCACGGGAAAUGACUCACUGCAGCCCUGCUGCUCUCGGGCUCCGGGGGACACAUCCACAUUUCCUGUAUCUCGGCUAGAGCCUUGGGCAGUGUGAGCUGGCAGGGCAGAUCGCUGAAGGCGGCUAGAGAUAGAAAACCACCCAGCUCUGCAUCCUGAGACAAAGAAGCCUUUCCCUGGGCUCAUAUGAUAGAGAUGAAAUUUAGAAGAAAAUAUGUUUUCAUAGAAUAAAUAAUCCAGUGGCAAACCAGUCCAAUCCAAUUCCAAGAUCGCUCAUUGAGACAACACUUACCAUAGGCCUCCCCUCUGCAGCCAGUGCUCCCGAUUGGGAAUGACUGGAGCCUCAGUUCACAACACCCCACGGGGGAAGGGGGUGCUGGUUCCCUUUAUAUAAACCCAACGAAGAAAGACCUGGCUUUGGGGAGCAGAAGUGACUGCUGUUGCACAUCUCUUUGCUGAAGGAUG